CCCUUAGAUGUUCUGGGCCGCACGCGUGCUACACUGAGUGGAUCAGCGGGUCAGGUUGCGCGAAAGUGUUUCCUAAUCUUGAAAUCCGCUCGUGAUGGGGAUUGACGGUUGCAAUUUUCUGUCAUGAACGAGGAAUGCCUUGUAAGCGCGGGUCAUCAUCCCGCGCUGAAUACGUCCCUGCCCUUUGUACACACCGCCCGUCGCUCCUACCGAUUGAGUGGUCCGGUGAGGCUUUGGGAUCUGGAUGGAAAGAGCGUUUCGCUGUUUCUGCCCGGAAAACUCAGUCGAACCUUAUCAUUUAGAGGAAGGAGAAGUCGUAACA
rnacentral:rRNA from 1 species